CGGUUGAUCCUGCCGGAGGUCACUGCUAUUGGGAUUCGACUAAGCCAUGCGAGUCGAGAGGGUUCGGCCCUCGGCAGACGGCUCAGUAACACGUGGAUAAUCUGCCCUUAGGUGGAGGAUAAUCUCGGGAAACUGAGAAUAAUACUCCAUAGGUCUAGGAUGCUGGAAUGCACCUAGACUUAAAGCUCUGGCGCCUAAGGAUGAGUCUGCGGACUAUCAGGUUGUAGUCAGGGUAAUGACCUGACUAGCCUACGACGGAUAUGGGUUGUGAGAGCAAUAACCCAGAGAUGAUAUCUGAGACACGAUAUCAGGCCCUAGGGGGCGCAGCAGGCGCGAAAACUUCACACUGUGCGAAAGCACGAUGAGGGAAUCCCAAGUGCUUGCUCGCAAGAGUAAGCUGUUUUUAUGUUUAAAAUGCAUAGAGAGUAAGGGCUGGGUAAGACGGGUGCCAGCCGCCGCGGUAAUACCUGCAGCUCGAGUGGUGACCGCUAUUAUUGGGCCUAAAACGUCCGUAGCCGGUUUAAUAAAUGCCUGGGUAAAUCGUGUAGCUUAACUAUACGAAUUCCGGGUAGACUGUUAAGCUUGAGACCGGGAGAAGCUAGAGGUACUCCUGGGGUAGAGGUGAAAUUCUGUAAUCCUAGGGGGACCACCAGUGGCGAAGGCGUCUAGCUAGAACGGGUCUGACGGUGAGGGACGAAGCCCUGGGGCGCAAACCGGAUUAGAUACCCGGGUAGUCCAGGGUGUAAACGCUGCUUGCUUGAUGUUAGUUGGGCUCUGAGCCCAAUUAGUGUCGGAGAAAAGUUGUUAAGCAAGCUGCCUGGGAAGUACGGUCGCAAGACUGAAACUUAAGGGAAUUGGCGGGGGAGCAC
rnacentral:rRNA from 1 species